AUCGCGGUUCCGUGGUAGACUAAGGUCUCUUAUUGGUCAAAACCACGUGAUUUGUAUUCUGGUCACGAGGCGGCAGUAAUGACAAAACAUUGACACAUUUCGUAACAUUACAUUAACUCCAAACUUCGUGAAGUUAGCCAUGUCCUGUCCGUCACGAUUGAGAGAAAUAAAAGUUCUCCUCCCAUCCCGUCUGGAAGUGGGGUCUCGAGACUGGUCGAGAGGUGGUAUCGAGCUGCUUCACUCCAAGCAAGUCGGAGCUUUUCAUGCUGUCACUCACACAAAUCAGUGACUUGGACAGAAAGUGGAAAAGAAAACAUUUGGGCAAGUCAGCAAACGACAAGGAGAUUCAAGAUUAAUUUGCGCUUUUUUUGAACUAAAAUGAGUUAAUCUAUCCUAUCAUGGAUCCAUUGGUUGCCCUGUUCAGUUCAUAUGUAUUCCGUUGCUCCUGCAUUGCCCCUGAACCUGUUGAUAAUUGAUUUGACUUAAGUGGGGCGAUCACAUGUCUCCACCGAGGCACGGCUCCUUGUAAUGGUGUCACAAGAGAUGGAGCUAUGACCAAAGAGUGGAACGCAAAAAACAACGUUGUCAUUCUCUGCCUUCUUCACAGUCUAUUUGUCACGCUUUAACGAGGGGCGGCGGUGAGGACACGCUGUUCAAUUCAAGUGAUCGGAGAAGAAAACCUAGCUUGUGUACAGUUCCGGCGGCGACAAUGUGCUUGCUUCAAAAAAAAAAAAUCCCGUACCGCGGAGGAGUUGAUGACCUCCCGCGCAGAUUGAGCUACAAAGUGGGGGGCGAUAAUGACGACGCUUGUUUCCUGCAGUCGCCACGUCUGGAGGCGUGGCUUGCUUGUGUGGAGGUGAGCUUCUUCCAUCAACUAACACCCGGUGCGCCGCUUUGCUCCUCCCCCCCAGGGCUUGUUCGUCAACAGAUAGGGCUUCAACAAAACUGGUAGUUGUUGGUCUUCAUCAAAGGCUGCUCCGCUUCCUCGGACGGCUCACAAGACUGGUCAAAGGGGUCGUCGCAGCACUUGGACUCGUCACACUCCUGGUCCGGCGUGACCUGCUCCUGAUGCACAUUCUGAAAUCAGGAAGUAUCAGCAAAGGAGAACUCCAAGGAAGUGUUUACGUGCUUCCACAAGAGAGACUGCCUUUUUUUUUUUCUUUUUUUUGGCUGGCCGUGAAAUAGCAGUUCCAUGGCCCCCCAGCAUGGCGGUCAUGUGGCUAACAGGCAGAACUGAGGCCUGACUCACACAGCGACAACAGAUGAUCGGACCCUGACUCAUAUUCAGUCUGCACCGUUCCACAGCGCCAUUAUUCCGGGGUGGUGUGACAGCCGCGACGAAUCACUGCGUACUGAUGCACUUUAGGGAAGGGGGGGGGCUGUUUUAAGUUGUUUAUUUUUCCACUGACUUCUGUAGCUCCUAGUUAAGACCGGUAUAGAUACUGUAUGUUAUAGUAUUAAUACAAACACCCCUCCUUUAUCUAGCCCAGGGGUGGGCAAACUUUUUGAC